rnacentral:rRNA from 1 species
GUAGGUGGCGAGCGUUGUCCGGAUUUACUGGGCGUAAAGAGCGCGCAGGCGGUCGUGCAAGUCGCGUGUGAAAGCCCCCGGCUCAACUGGGGAGGGUCACGCGAUACUGCUCGACUUGAAGGCAGGAGAGGGAAGCGGAAUUCCCGGUGUAGUGGUGAAAUGCGUAGAUAUCGGGAGGAACACCAGUGGCGAAGGCGGCUUCCUGGCCUGUUCUUGACGCUGAGGCGCGAAAGCUAGGGGAGCAAACGGGAUUAGAUACCCCGGUAGUCCUAGCCGUAAACGAUGGACACUAGGUGUUGGUGGUAUCAACCCCGCCAGUGCCGAAGCUAACGCAUUAAGUGUCCCGCCUGGGGAGUACGGCCGCAAGGCUA